rnacentral:rRNA from 1 species
AGCCUUAAGUUUUAUUUUAGGUGAAGCCUGCCCAGUGCAAUUAGUUAACGGCCGCAGUACCCUGACUGUGCUAAGGUAGCAUAAUAAUUUGGCUUUUAAAUGGAGUCGGGAAUGAAUGGAUUAAUAGGGUAAAGCUGUCUCUCCUGUAUUUAUUUGAACUUACUUAUUAGGUGAAAAUGCCUAAUAAAAGAAAAAAGACGAGAAGACCCUGGGAGUUUUUACUAAUAUCUUCUUUAAGGUUCUGUUUUUGUUGGGGCGACAAGAGAGUAAUGAAACCUCUUUUAGUAGAUAAGCCGACUACGUAUGAUAAAUUAAACUACCCCAGGGAUAACAGCGUAAUUCUUUUUGAGUUUGCGACCUCGAUGUUGGACUAGGAAUUUGAUAGGUUAGCCGCCUAUUUUUAUUGUUCUGUUCGAACUAUUUUUCC